AGUGGGAGUUUCUGAAGAUUUUUCCAUGCUAGAACUUGAUCAAUAACGCUAUCAAAGACGGUUCCCUAAACCUGGAAACUUGGAUGUCAGCAAGAUUCGCAGAUUUCAUUUAGUGAUGCCGUCACUUCAUUACACGAAUCAUCCAAAUGUAGAUACAAGAGAAGAGAAAGAAGCAGGAAAUAAAUGAUAUUGAUUUCUACACUCGAUGUUGAAACACUGUCGAUUAAAAGUUGCUAGUUUUGAAAUUA